GUGAAUCCUAAACGGGUUUGGAAGCUCCUCCGCGUUUGAAGGGUAGUUGUUGACCAACUCCCCUCAUGCGUCUUAUCGACACGACUUCUCUCAUCCUCACUCUCGCUCUUCAUUAAUUUGCUCCUUCCUAAUCCUCACCCGAUCGCUCCCAUUCUCACUCAUUAAAUUGCUAUACGCGAAAUCGUCGGCGGCAUGGCGAGCGAGAGAUGGCAUUUGUACGAUCGCUGCCCUUACUCCGCAGCCCUUUGCUUCCCUUCGAGGUUGGGAUUAUGGUGGCCACAGGGCGGGUGGGAUGGCAUUUUGUACGAUCACUGCCCUCGCUCCGCAGUCGUGGGGAUUUCACUUCCCUUUGGGGCUUCCGUACAGCCGGCAGUGUCUUUGGGUGGUUCUGAUUCCGAGGCCCUGUCUUUGGCUUGAACCCUGGCACGUUGUACGCCGCCCAUGCAUCCUCCAACCUGGCUGUACGGUCCCUCCCCCCUUGUCCUGGGGAACAAAGCGGUUGGUUACAUAAUCCUCCGUCCUUCUGCUGCCGCCGGUAGCUUGCCUGCCGUACGCGCCCCCCCCACCCCGGCACGCGCUUUGCUCAAGUGCUUAUAAAUAUAAGGAUUGUUGUGGGGUUUUGUGGCUGUUCAUGUGCUCUUCUUCUUCCAUUUUCUUCCUCUAUUUCUGAUCUACCUUUUCCCUUCAUAAUUUCGCUCUACUGGCCAUUUGCUGUCUGAACAAACCGUUCGCUGUUGUGGGUUCUCUUCCGGAGGGCUAAGAAAGUUGGGGUUUUUGUUCAGUGAACCCUUCGCUGUUGUGGGUUUUCUCUCGGAGGGCUAAGAAAGGUGGGGUUUUGGUUCAGUCAUGCUAUCUAUUUUUGAGCAGAGGUCUAGCAGGAGUUCUGUUUGGUUUCUUGCCAUUGCGAGCUAUCGUAACUGAAGCUUGGUUUCUUCAUACUUUCUUUGUUGUUUUUACCUGCGCUUUUUUUUUUAUGUAUUUCCCCUUCAAACGCGGAGAAGCUUUCAAACCCAGUUAUAACGUAGCUUGGAAAGUUUUUGGGUAUUUAGCAGUUCCGAUCCCACUGCUUCUGCGUCUGAGAGAUGGUCGAGAAAAGCUCGAAUUAUGAACAUAUCCAAUUUCAGACAAUAUUAACACUGAUAACCAAGCUAUUGGUGCAUGCUAUUAUAAUAUUAAGUAUUGGAUAAUAGUUUAAACUAAUACUUAUUUUGCACUGUGCUUUAUAGGCAUGAGCUUUUAUUUUCAGGUGCUCUUGAUUGUCCCAAUUGCCAAUGUAUCAUGCUUAUGCUAUCAAGUGGUUAAUUGGAUCAAGAUUCACAUGAUUCCAGCAGUGAUAACCCAAUAAAGUUCAUAUUUUAUAAAAGAUCACAAAUUCAACUAAGAUGACAAGAAAAAAGAUGAACCCCAAAAAAAAAAAAAGAGAAGCACAUAUUAGAUCAAGUGACUUAUGAUUUACAAUUUGUUUGCAAAUUGGACCUCUGUUUGGCAGCCAAUGUGUACCAAGAAUUCCUCGGCGGAUUAUUUCCUCUUUUUUUGAUAAUUUUUUCGAAUUUUAGGCAUACUCUCUUUAUUGUUUUGUUGCUAUAUAUAUGUUUGGCUCUAUUCAGGUGGAUUGGAUGCAUUUCUAUGCUUAAUACACCCAGCUUAGUGAUUUACUCCAUCUUCUGUCUAUGGUUCUUCUUGGUCUUCCAUUUUUUUUCCCAGUCUCCUGUCUAAGGUCUUAGAAAUUACAUAUCACGUUAAUUUCCGCAGAAAACCAAGCAUAAAGAGGCAGUAGAUGGCUUUUGUCUAUAGUGAAUGUAAUUAACGAUGAAAAAAGUGAGUGAGUUUAUGUUCAAAUCUUGCUAAUAUGUUUUUGCCUAGGGUUUUUUAUUAUGCACUUUACCUUUUUUGGGUUUGUUUCUUAUAGUUUGUGGGUCCCAUUAUUCUUGCCUGUAGUACUUUUCUCUUGCUCAGAUUCAUGAGGCUCUGAGUCUAGCUCUGAUUAACUCUAAUUUUGAGAGGGGAGGAAAGAUAGUGCAUGCCUUUAGAGAAAAAAUUAUCCGAACUUAUCGUUUAUUUUAUUAAACUUUCUCAUUUCUGAAUUUUGCUUAUUUGUUGUAAAGCUAUGCUAGAUGAAGAUAGGUCGGAAUUGUAGAUUUAUAAUGCCUUUAGUGAAUUGGACAGCGAAGUGUGCUUUUCUAGCAUCAUAAUUUUGUGAAUUAGGCAGCCAAGUUCAUUUUUGUGAAUUUUGUUCGUGAUUCAUGAAUGUUGUGCUAUUCUUUUGUACGACAUCUUAAAAAUUACAACAGAUAAGCUCCUCAGAUUGGUGUUUCCCCACUGCUGGUUAAAUACUUUGUUGACAAUGACAUGGGUAUGUAACAUAAUUCACAAAAAUGUCCCCACUGCUUUUCUUUUUAUUAUUAUGUAACAUUAGUUACUGCACUGUCCCCCAAUGGACAUAUAUCCCCACUGUUGGUUAGAAAAUUACAGAAUGUUGUGUUUUUUUUUUCCUCACAAAAAUUCCUUGCUUCUUUGGUGCCUGCAUUAUGUACUAUACUAAUAGCCUGAGAUUACGGAUGCAAAUUUGGCUCUAUUCAGCCAAUGCGUACAUAUAUCUGAUGCAUGCAUAGUAAAAACACCUCUAUUUGAAUCGGUCCAAAUUUGACGUAGAUAUAUUUUCAGUGGUAGUAUCUUGAUGACCUAAUUGAUUAGGAUCGAAUGUGAACCUAGAUCAAUUCAAAUAUGAUCUGUUAUCAUUCUUACCCUUUCCUGCCUGCAAAGAGUUGGAGUAUAAAAUUAGAGCUAAAGAAUAGCAUCCAUUUAGCAGUAUUUGAAAAUGAACUUGGCAAAUUUUUCUGGCCUUCAUUACAUUGACUGUCGGAUCCUUGCAAAAUCAAUAAUGCAUGUAUUGUGUACUUAGACACUUCUUAAAUUUGUAAUUUCCCAGUUGGUUUGCCUAUAAUUUUUUCGAUUUUAUAUGAUAAGCAGUGAUGAAAAAAAAAUACGGCAUCCUUCAAAUGGAUGACUUCCUUUUCCUCCUCGCAUUUUUAGUUUUCGAAAAAGGAUGAUCGGGUGCUAGAAUGUCAUUGCAGAUUGGAUGGCCCUUCGGCAACUAUUGGAUGCAAGCAAUUCGUUGGUGCAUUGCAAAUUGGGUGGCCGUUGGGCAACCAUUGCAUACAAACAAUUCGGUGGUGUAUUAUUUUCUCUUUUUUUUUGCGAGGGGUGAAAAGAUGAUGGCUGCUUCUUUAGACAAAAUUAUCUGAGCUUAUCAUUUAUUUAUAUUAUAAAAAAAAUGAACGCUUUUUUUACCCUAUUGGUUACUGCUGCAUGUGUUUGGCUUUUCGACGGUGCUUGGAAAGUUUUUGGGCAUAACUAAACCCUAAAUCCUAAAUCGGACCAGAUUGCAUGUCGAGUUGUGGCCGCCACUUGCUGCGAGGUCCAUCUUGACAGUCUUUUCGCAUAAGUCGUCGGUAAUUACAUAAGAUUUGCCUGCUACAACAUAUUCGGUGAAGGCGACUACUGCGACGGUGUCAGGCUACUGCUGCUGCGUGAGUAUCUAGCGUUGCAGCCAGUUCCGGUCCCGCUGCUGCUGUGUGUGAGAGAUGGUCGAGAGCUAAGCUUCGCUAUUCUCUCUACAGGUUUCUCCAAACAACUGAUGCGGCUGCUUCUACCUCUUAUUCUUAUUUCUUGCGCCUUUUCUCCAAUGCAAAAUAUGGUCGAGAGCUGACCUUCACUGCUCUCUCUACAAGCCAUGCUGUUCUUCUACUUUACCCUUUCUUUGCUGCUAAGAUUAGACUAUGAUGCAAAAGAAGGGGGCUUUUUGGAUUCUAUAAGCAGCAUGAGCAAAUUGGGUUAUUGUAAGCAGUAGGAACAAAUUGAAUCUAAGUUGGAUCCGUGAAGUUCGUGGAGGAACUUUGUGAAGUUUUUGUCAUAAGCUUAUGUGUUGGUGGGAAAAAAAAACUUCUUCCUCUGCUACUUAAUUAUGUACUUGCCUUUUCAGAUUUGUUUUUUAAAGUCUGGAAGAUUAACCAGUGUUGUAUUUAGUUUUGGCCCUUUUUGUAUUUUGCUAUCUCAUUAUUCUCAUCCCCACUACUUUUGAUUUUA